rfam:Clostridiales bacterium oral taxon 876 str. F0540 genomic scaffold Scaffold17, whole genome shotgun sequence.
AUAUAAAGUAAAGCGCCAGAACUUAAUGUAAGUUAUUAAGUUGACGAGGAUAGGGAGUAUCGAAAUUUCGGCGGAUGCCCUACGGUAUCGCACUACCGUUAAAGAUUGAUAAAACUGAGAAGUAAUUUUCAGCACAAUAUCAAUUGAGUGUUAAAA